UCCUUGUUAAGCCGCGUUUACACCGGAGUUAAUAACACGAGUUUUUUAACAUUUUUGUUAUUAACAGGUGUUAAUAAGAAAAGUCAUUAACAUAUCUUAAUAACAUUUUCUUUUGGCUGCUAGUUUUGUUAUCAACAAAAGUUAAAAGUCACUUCGCCAGUAUCAACGCUCAUGCCGGGCGAGGGGGUUGCGGGGAAGAGAGGAACCAGUUAUUAACAAAAGUUAACACGCUAAAAGAGGCUAUUAACUUCUGUUAUUAACAUUUGUUUGAAACACAACACAUUUCCUUUAAUCUUUACCGACUCUUGAUGGAUAACAUAAAUCUUGUUAAUAACAAGGAAUUUUCUGUUAAAAACACGAGUUAUUAACUUUUGUUAAUAGAAAUUUUUUGGCGAUUCAGUUAAGUUAAUAACUUUUUAUUAAAAACUCGUGUUAUUAACGCCGGUGUAAACGCGGCUUAACAUGCAUAUACAAUAACAAGAAUUCAGUGCUAAUUUUGUUGGGCUUUUUUGUCAUUUCUGGGAAUAGGUAUUUACCAAAUUAUGAUCUGCAUGAAAUCCUUGAUUAUAUGUAGUAACUAGAUAAUCUACCCCGUGUUAAGUUUUGAAGCGGAAUUCCCGAUUCAUAGAUGGCGAUACCCAAAACUAGGGAAAGAUAGCCGACUGUCGAUUCUACGUCCGAAUAGUGCAUUUAAUGGAACGCGCACCUAUGUAUGAAUAGCAAAACUAUUAAUUGCUUCUAGAAUUUGACCUGUUGAGAGACAAUAGCGAUAUGGGUGGAUGUACAAAAAAUAUUCUACAUCAGACGCUCGAAAAUAUACGAGUUGUUCCACUUGAAAAAACAAACUAGAAAAUUCAUUUUAAACAAUUCGGAUUAGAAAAAUAAUUUUCAGCUACUCUGUAUAAUUGUAGGGCAUGGAAAUGGACCAGAAACAUCGCACAUCUAUCUAUCAAAUGGUAUCAUAAUUAUUUUCUCUUGAGUUCCGUAACUAUGAUGAAGGAUGACAGUGGUUUUUUCGUUAUAUUGCCGGUGAAUAAUCUUUAUCGACAAAAGAAAGUAUGAAUCGAUUUCGUAAAGUAAAAGACAACAGUAAGAAAUACUGUCUAGUGAGGUUUAUUGAGGACAAAAUUCUGUACAUAGUACCUACAAGGCAGUUGACUCCAAUUGAAGGAUAUUUGGUGUGGGCUCCAUAUAAAAAAAUGGGCUUUUAUGAAGCUCAUAUAGUUUUUCUCAAUAAUAAUAGAAAUAUAUUGGAAAAAAAGAAACGAGAUAUGCAAAUGAGUGAAGAUAUUGAAAGUCUGAAUG